UGCUCAAACGGCUGCUGCUGUUACUCUCUGUUGCUACCAUGGUCGUUGCUUUGUAUCAAUGGCGAAAAUUCUCAGAUGAGCUUUGGGUCCGGGCACUAGAACCCUGCUGCUGCCUCUGCAGCAGUUGUAGAAAGUUUUAUAAUACCAGUGUCAAUGGUGAACUUCUGCUCUUUUUUUAUCCCAGACACUUUGUGCUCAAGAGACUGUUAGGUCUUUGUGGUGUUGUCGUUGCUGUUUGGUUAUACUAGUUGGCGUCUGUUUGGAAAUAUAUUGUGCUUUUCUGUAUGUUCAUGUGAACGUAGAAGCCCUCACCGAAACCAACACUACGUUGCUGUGUUGUUUUCUUCCAAGGUCGGGCACAAUAAAGGAGACGACUCUGUAUCAAGGCACUACCCAGAGGGAGGAUGUUGGCCUUCUCCUGAUGGGAAAAUGUCUUCUUUCUCAUGGCGUGGCCAGGACUGCACUGACCCUACCAUCCACUCUACCUCUCCGGAAGGUGACUUGACAACCAGUCAAGAUGGAAGUGCAGAGAUAUACCAGCGCUUCUAGCAUUAACUGCCAAUUUGCACUGACGCAGCAAGACUCCCAACAGUCAAAAAGAAUAAUAUAGACGUGCAGAAAAUGUAGGAGAGCGAUGACAUCAGAAGGACACUCUCAGGUUCAGGGUACCUGUACUGCCCCAAUAAAGUGGGUAAGAUCCCAAAACGAGGUUGGCCGAAGCAAAAAAAAUAGAAG